rnacentral:rRNA from 1 species
CCUACGGGUGGCAGCAGUCGAGAAUCAUUCACAAUGGGGGAAACCCUGAUGGUGCGACGCCGCGUGGGGGAAUGAAGGUCUUCGGAUUGUAAACCCCUGUCAUGUGGGAGCAAAUUAAAAAGAUAGUACCACAAGAGGAAGCGACGGCUAACUCUGUGCCAGCAGCCGCGGUAAUACAGAGGUCUCAAGCGUUGUUCGGAAUCACUGGGCGUAAGGCGUGCGUAGGCUGUUUCGUAAGUCGUGUGUGAAAGGCGCGGGCUCAACCCGCGGACGGCACAUGAUCCUGCGAGACUAGAGUAAUGGAGGGGGAAACGGAAUUCUCGGUGUAGCAGUGAAAUGCGUAGAUAUCGAGAGGAACACUCGUGGCGAAGGCGGGUUCCUGGACAUUAACUGACGCUGAGGCACGAAGGCCAGGGGAGCGAAAGGGAUUAGAUACCCGGGUAGUC